rnacentral:rRNA from 1 species
GAUGAACGCUAGCUACAGGCUUAACACAUGCAAGUCGAGGGGAAACGAUAUUGGAAGCUUGCUUCCGAUAGGCGUCGACCGGCGCACGGGUGAGUAACGCGUAACCAACCUGCCCACCACUUGGGGAUAACCUUGCGAAAGUAAGACUAAUACCCAAUGAUAUCUCUAGAAGACAUCCGAAGGCGAUUAAAGUUUUAACGGUGAUGGAUGGGGAUGCGUCUGAGUGGGUUGUUGGCGGGGUAACGGCCCACCAAGGCGACGAUCGGUAGGGGUUCUGAGAGGAAGGUCCCCCACAUUGGAACUGAGACACGGUCCAAACUCCUACGGGAGGCAGCAGUGAGGAAUAUUGGUCAAUGGACGAGAGUCUGAACCAGCCAAGUAGCGUGCAGGAUGACGGCCCUAUGGGUUGUAAACUGCUUUUGUAAGGGAAUAAAGUGAGCCUCGUGAGGCUUUUUGCAUGUACCUUAUGAAUAAGGACCGGCUAAUUCCGUGCCAGCCGCCGCCGUAA